GCUGUCUACUCCUUACACAGAGUUUGACCACCUCCUGCACCUACACUUUAGCCCUUUCAUGGCGUCUGAUGUGGCUUUUUAAACCAGACAAUGUUUUGAAAAAACACCCACACAGAUUGCAACUCUGAUUUGCACUACCAAUACCUGCAGAAGGAACUAAUUGCUUAAGGUGGAGUUGCCCACAAUACCAAUGACAGACAUCAGGAAAAAGGCACAGGACCAGAGAUUUUAUAGGGGAGAAGGCGAGUCAGUUACAUGGAUCCUAGUCCUCAACUGGUACUUAUUUUAUUGACCUUGAAAGGAUGAAGGAAAAUUCAACCUCAGCAGAAUUUGAACUCAAAACAUAAAGAACCAAAAAAAGUUCUGCUAAACAUCUUGUCCAACUCAUAAACAAUUCUGCCGCCUAACACCUUUAACCAAUGAAAAAUAUCAGCAGACAAAAUACAUUAUUUUCAAAUAUGUAAAGUGAAGUUUAUUUAUAACAUCUUACCUUCCCAGGAUCAUCUUUAGACCGUGGCACUUUUAAGAAACAUUUAUUCAAUGACAGAUUAUGUCUUAUAGAAUUCUGAAAUAAAAAACAAAAAAACAUUGCUUUAGAUUUAUUACAACUUCAAAA